ensembl:lncRNA
GACUCCAACUGAGGCAAAGUUGUCUAUGCGCCACGAACGAGGGACGAUUGAUUGUGUUAGCAAGCAGACGCAUGCUUAAUCUGCUGCAGACUAGUUACGCCAAGCCUCUUUCCUUGAGAUCACCAACACUAGUGGGUUUAGGUAAAGCUCUCAGCAGCUGGUAUGAAUCUUUUUACCCAAAACAAGUAGGAUUGAUCAGUGACAACUGAGGAAACAUUAAAAACACUACAUUGAGAUACUGUGGAAAGGCAUCUAGUCACACAUUUAGGUACCUUUGCAAAAGUCCAAUUAAUAGUCAUGGCAGACUGUGCGGUAGUACUUUAUUGAAUUUUAGAAAGAUGCCAGGACAAACUACUUUGAGAAAAUAACCAGGAACCUGUGAACAGAAUUAUGCAAAUUAGCAAUGCAUUCAUCUCAACAGAAGCAAAUUCUCAUUUAAAACAGUAAUUUAAAGCCAAAACUUGCCAUAAGGUCAAUGUUUUCCAUUUUACAAAAGGCACCAGUGGAGGCUACCACCUUGGAUGGUCCAGCAAUGCCGUUGAAAUUGGCCUUCUUGGAUCAACAUUCAAUUUGGCAGGCUGGACUAAAGAAUCAGAAAACAAGUCCCACAUGCCAGCUUUGGUUUGAAUAACUCCUUUCUGGUGCUUGGGCUUCUGUGGUUGGGAGACACGCUUGAAGGAGGGCGGCUGCUGGGGCCUCGGGGGCGGCUGCUGGGGCCUCGGCCGGUAACCAUCAUCGAAAGUGGGCUGCUGGGGCCUCUGGGGCGGCUGCUGGGGCCUCUGGGGCGGCUGCUGGGGCCUCGGCCGGUAACCAUCAUCGAAAGUGGGCUGCUGGGGCCUCUGGGGCGGCUGCUGGGGCCUCUGGGGCGGCUGCUGGGGCCUCUGGGGCGGCUGCUGGGGCCUCGGCCGGUAACCAUCAUCGAAAGUGGGCUGCUGGGGCCUCUGGGGCGGCUGCUGGGGCGGCUGCUGGGGCCUCGGCCGGUAACCGUCAUCGAAAGUGGGCUGCUGGGGCCUCUGGGGCGGCUGCUGGGGCCUCGGCCGGUAACCAUCAUCGAAAGUGGGCUGCUGGGGCCUCGGUCGGUAACCAUCAUCGAAAGUGGGCUGCUGGGGCCUCGGGGGCGGCUGCUGGGGCCUCGGCCGGUAACCAUCAUCGAAAGUGGGCUGCUGGGGCCUCGGCCGGUAACCAUCAUCGAAAGUGGGCUGCUGGGGCCUCGGCCGGUAACCAUCAUCGAAAGUGGGCUGCUGGGGCCUCGGGGGCAGCUGCUGGGGCCUUUGCUGGUAACCAUCAUCGAAAGUGGGCGGCUGCUGGGGCCUUGAGGGCUUCGGCUGGCAGCCCGAUCUAAAAGUGGGCAGCUCCUGGGGCCCAGGAGGCGUGAGCCGGUGACCCUUAUUGAAAGUAGGCUGCUGCUGGGGCCUCAGCAAAUUCUGCUCAUAGCCCUUACUUAAAGUGGGUGGCUUCUGGGGCCUGGGAGCCCUCUGCUGGUAGACCUGAUCGAGACUGGUCGGUUCCUGGAGCCUCGGCUGGUAGGUUGGAAGGAAAGAGGGCAGUUGCUGGGGCAUCGCAAGGUUCUGCUUGUAGCCUGGUCUAAAAGUGGUUGGCUCCCGGGGCCUGGGCUGGUAGGUUGGAUAUAAAGUAGGUAGUUGCUGGGGCCUUAGACGAUUCUGCUGGUAACCUGAAGUGAAAGUGGUUGGUUUGUGGGGGCUGGGCUGGUUCGGCUGGUAGGUCGUAUCAAAAGUAGAUGGCUGGUCGUCGGGCUGCUGGGGAUUAGAGGGCGGAGGACCAGAUUGCAUAAUAAUUGCACUACUUGAGGCAAUACCAGACUCAAUGCUUUCUCCACUUUGUGGAGGGACCCAGUUCUCAGCUUGGGUCCAGAAGAUGUCAUUUGCAUUAGUGUUAGUUUGAGGUGGCUGCGGAGAGUUCUUUGGAGAUUUCCUAAGGAUCGGUGAGCGAGGCACAUAACUAGAAACACUUCCAUCUCGACUGUAACCAUCUACUUGCCCACUUCCACGGAUGCCUCCACUUUUGUCACGCAGUGC